rnacentral:rRNA from 1 species
UACGUAGGGGGCUAGCGUUGUCCGGAAUCAUUGGGCGUAAAGCGCGUGCAGGCGGCUCGGUAAGUCUGCUGUGAAAGUCCAGGGCUCAACCCUGGGAUGCCGGUGGAUACUGUCGAGCUCGAGUCCGGAAGAGGCGAGUGGAAUUCCUGGUGUAGCGGUGAAAUGCGCAGAUAUCAGGAGGAACACCAAUGGCGAAGGCAGCUCGCUGGGACGUGACUGACGCUGAGACGCGAAAGCGUGGGGAGCAAACAGG